GGCCUUAUGAUUAUAAUUAAAGGUCUGGCCUGCUCAGUGAGUAUUUAAAUGGCCGCAGUAUUUUGACUGUGCAAAGGUAGCAUAAUCAUUAGUUUCUUAAUUAGGAACUGGCAUGAAUGGUUAGAUGAGAAAAUAGCUGUCUCUUUUAUAAGAAUAGAAUUUUAUUUUUAAGUAAGAAAGCUUAAAUUUAAUUAAAAGACGAGAAGACCCUAUAGAGUUUUAUGGAAUUUAUUAUUUUAAGUUUUUGGAUAUUAUAUUAUAUUUGAUUUAGUAAAUUUUAUUUGAUUGGGGUGAUUAUAAAAUUAAUUAAACUUUUAUUUUAUUAAUACAUUGAUUUGUGGUUAUAUUGAUCCAAUUAUUUUGAUUAAAAGAAUAAAUUACCUUAGGGAUAACAGCGUAAUCUUUUUUUAGAGCUCUAAUCGAGAGAAGGGGUUGCGACCUCGAUGUUGGAUUAAAAUUUACUUUAGGAGCAUAAGCUUAAUAGUUGGGUCUGUUCGC
rnacentral:rRNA from 1 species